rnacentral:misc_RNA from 1 species
AUCUUAUCAAGGCUUUAACAAUGUUUAAAGGGACUUGGACACGAUUUGAGCUCAAAAUUUCAAAUUUUAUUUUUCCAUUUUUAAUGUUUAGAAUGAUUAAUAUGGGUAUUUUUAAUGCUUUAUGAAAAAUUGAAAGUCAGAUAUUGAGUUAUUAACAAGAUACAGAGUUUGGAAUUCUUUGUUUUGUAAACAAAGCUCGAGCCUUGUUAUUUUUUAAAUACAUAUGUGUUUUAUUGUUAUAAGUUUCAAUCAAAUGUUGCCUUCUUCUAUUGAUAAUAUAUUUUAUAAUCACAUUG